rnacentral:misc_RNA from 1 species
UAACCCCUCAAGCUCAGCUUGGUGUUGGGGCCUGCCGUUUGGCAGCCCUUAAAAUCAGUGGCGGUGCCACCUGGCUCUAAGCGUAGUAAUUCUUCUCGCUACAGAGUCCUGGUGGAUGCUUGCCAUCAACCCCCAAUUUUCUAU